GUCGGACACGGUGCCCAAUCGUGUGAUGCUUGAGUCCCGUUGCUGGCAUCAAGGAAGAUGGACGCGUCGCCGCCACCCUAGAAGCGGCAUCCCCCGCGUGACGCCCUUUCAGGCACCGCCGUGACCGGAUUCCUUGUUCUCCCUGCGUGGCGACCACGCCUGCCUGCGCCGUCCGCGCUGCCGAGCAGUUGGGCGUCCAAGUAUAGCGAUAGGACCGCAGCGACUUCAUCAGGAAAAUGAUCUGGGUGGCCGAGCGCGCCUCCACGCGCAUGACCGGGAUGCGGAAACCAACGCAUCGUGGAAC
rnacentral:antisense_RNA from 1 species